UGAUGAUACGCGGUAUGGCAUGUAAUUUAAAACGUAUGAAUUAUUUGCUUCUGGAAUUUUCCAUUUCAUUCUUCUGAACUGAGGUUGACUGCAGAUAACCAAAACCAUGGAUAAGGGAAACUGAGGCUGAGAGAGCCUGUAUGACAUGUCCAGGAUGCCAUCAGCAAGCAGUGGGAUGCUAUUUCAAACCUGGUCUAAUCACAAAGCUUGUGUCCUCUCUAUUACAAACCAUUUUGUGGAACAGAAGCUACAGUUCUGGUCAUUCAUUUAUUUAUCCCAUAAAUCAAUCUUUCUUUAUAGCUUACGACUCACCUUCUUCCCUUCUCCAUCCUGUCUCAUGGUCGUAAGAUGAUCGAAGUAGGUCCUGUCCUUCCUGAACACGCUGCCAAACUUCUUUUAAUUUUUAAAUAUGUGAAUAGAGACAGGGUCUCACUAUGUUGGCCAGGCUGGUCUCGAACUUCUGGACUCAAGCAAUCCUCCUGUCUCUGCCUCCCAAAUUGUUGGGAUUAUAGGCAUGAGCCACCGUGCCCAGCCCACACUGCCAAUGAUGAGAAGAAAAUGUUCCUAGAAUGGCAUUCAAGGAAUCUUUUCAAGAAAAAGCACUUUUAUAAAUUAUUUUUAUGCAUUAAUGAAUUAUUCUCUCAGGUAAUCACAUUGGCUCACAUUUCAAGGUCAAGAUCAGGAUGAGGAGUAGAGGAUAAUAACAAUGGAUAUCAUCU
rnacentral:lncRNA from 10 species